AAGAGGGAGAUCAUCAAUGUAGAUUAGAAAAAGAAGUGGUCCGAGUACGCAACCCCUAGGGACGCCUGAUGUUACGUGAAUUCUGAUAUCCAGGCGAUGAUAAGAGGAUUAAUUUUAAAGUGGUGAAGUUUGGUAAGGAGACGAGUAUGAGAUUCUCUUGAAGGCUUUUGCAAAGUCAAGAUGGCAUCGACUUGUUUUUAUGUUCAAGGGAUGACACGGAAGAUUUUCCAGUCAAGGGGAAUGUAACCAGAAGCAAGGGAUUCACGGAAAAUGUCAGACAAAUAGAGAUAUGAUAUGUGUUUCGUGUUGAAUAGUAUCUUGGAAUAGAUGAGGCCAUUCCUUGUAUUUAAGGCGUGAGCUGUCUGGCCCCCACGCUCAAUUGAGUUGGAGACCACUGCUUAGCGGCUCCUACGUCGCACCACAGCUCUAGCUGUGUUUCAUCUUACGGGUUGCGUAAGUGUGUAAAAUUUUUAUUGUUCACAGGCGACAUCCGCCGUGGUAUGUCAGUCCCAAUGAAAUUGUUUGCUGAUGAUUGUGUUUUGUACAACAAAAUCGAAACUCCACAAUAUCAAGUUAAUCUAAACGAUAAUCUGCUCAAAAUCAAACAUUGGUGCGACGAAUGGCAAAUGGAGCUAAAC